GGAAAACCAAUAGACCAACAGAAGAUCCAACUGCUGCUGAUGACUGUGAAACUCCAGAGUGUGAAAACGAGCGUCUUGCUGCAGUGAAGGAGUGUGCAGACUGCACUUACCAGAGCCUCUGUGUGGACAACAUGGACCCAAACCAAACCUACACUUCCAUCCGAGACCAAGUGAUUUAAUGGACAUUUAUUAGGCUAGAAUUGUCAAAUCUUGUCAAAAUCCUGGUGUAUUAUGGAUAUUGGAGGGGAGUAAUCUGAAUGUAGCUCAUGUCAUUACACUUUUACUACUGUACAGGCUGAAGGGCAAAAAUACCCACAGACAAGGGUGGAAAGUAACAAAUUACAUUUCCUCCCAUUACUGUAAUUGAGUAGUUUUUUAUGAAUAAUUUGUAAUUUUUUAAGUAGUUUUUGAAAUAAAUGUUACUUCAUGACAUUGGAACACACCGUCCUUACUGAGUAAAAUCAGAUUGAUAGAGAAAAAAAAGAAAUGCGAGAAAAAAAAAAAGUGCUGGAAAUGUAAAGUGCACAUUUCCUCUAUAGAAUGUACAGUUAUUGUACAGAACCAUCAGUCUGUUUUGGAUCAACUUGGAUGAGGCUGGUGCCGAGCCACAGAUCGAGGUCGUCAUGGACGAUAUUCAAGAAGAAGGUGCAUUGAAUAUUUCUGAAGAGGAAAAUGAAGGAUGGAAGUGAAGGGAGCAUGGCACUUUUUCAUUUCUUGUAUCAUCAGUCAGUGUGCAAUGUGUGCAACAUUUUCAUUUUGCAUACUUUGAUUUUGGUUUAAUUUUCUGUCUUGUUUAUUGUAGUGUUGUUUAAACCAGGUCUAAACCAGGACUAAUGUUGGACUUGAGAGAGAGAGAGGGAGAACCCCGAACUUGUGGAGCAGGGUGUCUGCAAAGCAUAAUCGAGCCAUGGCUGCACUUCGCCCCAUGGACGGGGAGCUCUGUGCCGGUCCUUUCACCUGCAGUCACCUGACAGUCUCUCACCUCUGGGCCCAUCCCGACAUUGAGUCCUGGUUGAGUUCUGGUUUAGUCCUGAAUUAGUCCUGGUUCAGUCCCGGUUCAGUCCCGGUUCAGUCCUGGUUCAGU